AUGAUCCUCCCAAGAAGGGAACCGUUUCAUUUCCUGGUCUCUGUAUCCCUCCACACCCAAAGAGCCCCUUGCACAUCUUGCAUCUAAAAGAACUCUGAAAACACUAGUUGAAUGAACUGAAUUGGCUGCUCUCUCUUCCAGGUCAUCUCCUGCCAAGUCUAUACUUGAUGGAGCCCGGCCAACCACGAGGAGGGAAUGAGAGAGAGACUGUAAAGGAAACAGAAGUUGGGGAGAGCACUGCAGACAGCAAGGCCAGAGGGUCAAAUGAAUAGAAUGGAGUGAAGGGCAAUGAAUGUCAGAAGACAGCAAGGACGGGAUUAAGAUGCCAAAGAGAUGACGGCCUGCUCCAAUCUGGCCGUGGAGACGUGAGGGGGGACGGCUGGGAGACAGCUCUAUGUGGUCCAGUAAGUACGUUUUGUGACCCCCCUGCCCCACAACUAGCCCUCUUCCAUACUGGUUCCCUGAGUCACGUGGUCUUAACAUCCCUGAAGUAGGGAGUCAGAGACGCUGGAAAUACUUUCCAUAAACUUUGCACACCUACUGAUACAGUGAGUUAUCAUUUCUUACUAUUGGUGGUUUAGUUGCUAAGUUG
rnacentral:lncRNA from 1 species